AUGGAAGAAUUUUUGCAGCGCGCCAAGUCUAAAUUGAAUCGAAGCAAACGCUUGGAGAAGGUCCAUGUGGUUAUUGGACACAAAUCCUGUGAUUUGGAUUCUCUCAUUUCUGCCUUCACAUAUGCUUACUUUCUAGACAAGGUCAGCCCACCAGGGGUUCUCUGUUUGCCCGUGCUGAACAUACCAAGAACUGAAUUCAAUUACUUCACUGAAACAAGGUUUAUUUUAGAAGAGCUAAAUAUCUCUGAAUCAUUCCACAUAUUCCGAGAUGAAAUUAAUCUGCAUCAGCUAAAUAAUGAAGGAAAGUUAUCUCUAACACUUGUUGGCAGCAAUGUACUGGCAAGUGAGGACAAAACUUUAGAAUCAGCAGUUGUCAAGGUCAUUAAUCCGGUGGAGCAAGGCGAUGCCAGCUUUGAGUUCCGAGAGUCUUUGUCGUCUCUGGUGGUGAAAGAGAUCCUCCAGGAGGCUCCCGAGCUCAUCACCGAGCAGCUGGCUCAUCUGCUCAGAGGUAGCAUCCUUUUUAAGUGGAUGACCAUGGAACCCAAGAAGAUCUCAGAAAAGCAGGAGGAAAUUCUUUCUAUCCUGGAAGAAAAAUUUCCCAGCUUACCUCCAAGAGAGGACAUUAUCAACAUUCUGCAGGAGACCCAGUCCAGUGCUCAGGGUUUAGGUAUUGAACAGACAAUGCUGAAGAAUCUAAAGGAACUUUCAGAUGGAGAAAUAAAAGUGGCCAUUAGCACUGUGAACAUGACCCUGGAGAACUGUACAUUUCACAGCAGUAUCACCAGUGAUUUGAAAGCGUUCACAGACAAGUUUGGCUUUGAUGUCCUCAUCCUCCUGGCCAGUUACCUGUCGGAGGAGCAGCAGCCCAGACAACAGAUCGCUGUGUACUCUGAGAACCUAGAGCUGUGCAGUCAGAUCUGCUGUGAGCUAGAAGAGUGCCAGAACCCUUGCCUGGAGCUGGAACCCUUUGAGUGUGGCUGUGAUGAGAUCCUGGUGUACCAGCAGGAGAACCCUUCAGUGACUUGUGAUCAGGUGGUUCUCCUUGUCAAGGAAGUCAUCAACAGGAGGUGUCCGGAGAUGGCCUCCAACAGCCGGACAUCCUCCACAGAAGCGGUGGCAGGCAGUGCCCCGCUUUCCCAGGGAUCUUCAGGGAUUAUGGAGUUGUAUGGUUCUGAUGUAGAGCCACAGCCCAGCUCCGUGAAUUUCAUGGAAAACCCUCCCGAUCUCGGCGAUUCUAACCAGGCCCAGGUGGAUGUCAAUGCGGACCUGGUGAGCCCAGACAGUGGGCUGGCCACCAUCAGGAGCAGCCGCUCGUCCAAGGAGAGCUCCGUGUUCCUCAGUGACGACAGCCCUGUGGGAGAAGGGGCGGGGCCUCACCACAGCCUCCUCCCAGGGUUUGACUCCUACAGUCCCAUCCCCGAAGGAGCAGUAGCCGAGGAGCAUGCCCGCUCUGGAGAACACGGUCAAUCAUUCGACCUUUUCAACUUUGACCCAGCACCCAGGGUUUCUGGGCAGUCCCAGCCAUCCUCCCAUUCUGCAGACUACUCCCCAACAGAUGACUUCUUUCCCAACAGUGAUUCCUCAGAAGGACAGCUCACCAUGGGGUCUAAAGAACUUGACAGGAGGGGGAUGGACAUGCCUAAUUAUUCAUCCAGUUCUCUCUUGUCAGGGGCUGGCAAAGAGAGCCUCGUGGAAUUUGAUGAGGAGUUUGUCCAGAGACAAGAAAGUCCCGGGGAUAAUUCGGAAAGAAAUUUGAGCCUGACAGGUUUUAUGCAAGAUGAAUCUCCUUCUCCAGAAAGUCUAAAAACUGUUGGAAAGAGGAUCCCACCCACACCUAUGAACAGCUUUGUGGAAAGCUCACCAUCCACUGAAGAACCAGCUCUGCUCUAUUCAGAAGACGUAACCCCCAAGACAGUCAACACAGGUCACCCAGGGCCACCUCUAACCCGGGCGCGAUGCAGCAGCUGGUGGGAUGGUUUGGAAAUUGACUCUAAAAAUAUUGCGGAUGCAUGGAGUUCCAGCAAGCAGGAAUCUGUCUUCCAGAGCCCCGAGUCCUGGAAAGAUCAUAAGCCAAACCCAGCUGAUAGGAGAGCCUCAGACUCUAUAUUUCAACCCAAGAAUCUCGACUUCCCAAAGUCAAGUCCCUGGGAGUCAGAAUUUGGUCAGCCUGGGCUGGGCAACAAGAAUAUUCAAGACUCAGAUGAGAAAAGCUUUCAGUUUCAGGACGUGCCCCCUGAGCAAUCACGUUUGCUGAAUGUUUCUCCUCACGGAACAAACCACCUGAUAGAAGACUUCGCUGCCCUGUGGCGUUCUGACCGCUCUCCCACCGCCAUGCCUGAGCCGUGGGGAAACCCCACAGAUGACGAGGAACCAGCUGCUGCAGCGUCAUUCCCAGCCUGGAGCGCAUUUGGUGAAGAAGGUGAUGCCAAGGCUUUGAAAAAUACUUGGAAUCUGCACCCAACGAGCAGCGAGACACCUUCUGUGAGAGACCCAAACGAGUGGGCCAUGGCCAAAAGCGGGAUUGCUUUCCCUUCAGAAGACCUCGUGGACAGUUCACCCAGUGAGGCAAAUAAUGAAGCAGUUCCAGAAAUCUGGGGCAAGAAGAACCAUGACCCCAGGGAUGAUAUUCUCAUAUCUGGAAAUCCCACGUCUGAUCUGGAUCAUCCGUGGAAUAGUUCUAAGCCAGCAAAGGACCAUCAGAACAGUGUGGUGGACCCAACAAUUACGGGCAAGGUGUACAAAAAUGUAGAUUCUUGGAACUUUUUCGACGAGAAUAACAAGGAAGGAGGUUCAGAUGUCCCAGCACCUUGGGAGGACUCCUUCUUAUCUUAUAAAUGUUCUGACUACAGUGCAUCCAACAUGGGGGAAGACUCAGUGCCCUCCCCCUUAGAUACCAACUACUCCACUUCUGACUCUUACACUUCACCAACAUUGGCCAGAGAGGAGAAGGAAACCAAAGACAAGCCACUCACUAAAGGGGAGGGUUUUGAGUCACAAGAUGCUAACUGUACUGCAGGGGGCGCUGACGUGCCUCCUCAGUCCCCGCAGCAGCCACCAAGAAAUCGAAUCAGUUCCGGUCCUGGGAACCUGGAAAUGUGGGCUUCAUCUCAGGCGGAUGGUGGCUCAGAAAUAAAUGCCACUCACAGCCCAGAUAAAGAUCUACUCCAGGUAGAGCCCACGGACGAUCAGAAUGUCUCCCUGGAGGAUGACGUGGGCGAAAGCAGCCAGUCCAGUUAUGACGACCCCAGCAUGAUGCAGCUGUACAACGAGACGAACCGACAGCUCACACUUCUGCACAGCAGUGCUGACGCCCGGCAGGCAGCCCCUGACAGCCUCGACACGUGGAACAGAGUGAUUCUGGAGGACACGCAGUCUACUGCAACCAUCUCGGAUAUGGACAAUGACUUGGACUGGGAUGACUGCAGUGCGGGGGUGGCCAUCACUGGUGAAGGUCAGGCACGAGGGUACUUGGCGGAAGGUAGCGAACCUGAAACCCGAUUCUCAGUGAGACAGGUGGAACCCUGGGGCGUGGAGUAUCAGGAGGCAAAUCAGGCAGACUGGGAACUCCCUGCCUCCUCUGAGCACAGCCUGGACGUGGCUCCUGAUGAAUACCACGUGCUGAAUGAGAAAAGUGGGCAGCUGAUCGCGAAUAGUAUUUGGGAUUCUGUCAUGAGAGAUAAUACCGUUUCAUCAUUAAUGUUACCUAGCCCAUCGUAUGCUGCAGAUACAGAACAGAGCAGGUCACCUCCUGAAACAACCAGCUCAUUAGAAAAAAUUCAGGAUGGUCACAUUGCAGAUGUGCUGGAAGCAUCUGGAGCCAGCGAGUCUGAAACAAUCAACCCUGACAAGCAGGACACAUGCAGAGGAACCCUGCCAAGUGAUACGGCGUAUCUGGUGACCAGACUUGAGAACCCAGAGCAUUUUGCAUGCUCAGAUCCCUGGAAGGGUCCUAGCGAUGGAGAAAAGGAAAGUGAGAAGGAAUUCCACGGAGCUGCUGAUAGGGAGCACUCCAGUGAUGAGCUAAUGGAUGGAGCCUCGGAAGCUUCUGAAAAAGAGCAAGAUAGCCAGGAAUGCCCAUCCCCAGCUGCAUCUGAUCAUCAAGAGAUCUCCAAUGAACCAGACAAAAUCAGAAAUUUUUCAGUGACUUCCAGUCCUCAGACCAAGGAACCCCAGGAAGUAUUAGAGCAGGAGAAGGGGUCUUACACUCCAGACCCCUGUGAUGUGCAAACAGAGGUGUCCGAAGAUCGCUUGCCAGCAAGAGAGACCUGUGAAGAACACCUCAUAAGCCCCAGAAGAAAUUCAAGUGAAACUACUGAAGUUCCAGGUAGGCUGAAUUCCACAAAAAGUGUGUCUCUGCCUAAAGUGGAUGUGGAGAAAUCUGAAGAAUGUGACAUUCUGGAGCCAGAGAAAAUUAACCAAGAGCCACCUGAUGAAUGUCCCCAAGGCCUGGACUCUUGGGAUGGCCCUAAAGACAGUGAUGUGCUGGUCAGUGGUGCAAGUUCCGAGAGAACUAUGAAUCUCGAAGUCGAGAAUACUGAAAACAGCCUUCCAAGAGCCAGCUUAUCAGGAAAUGAUGACAGAGAUAGUAUUUCCAGUGAGUAUACGCUUUCAAGUGCAUCCAGUCCUGACAUAAAUGAUUCUUCGGCUGCACUGCCUUCCUGGGACCAAGGACCCAAUACUGGGCAUCAGAAGGAAAAUCAAAAUGAUUGGAGUACACAGAAUCACCAAGAAUCUGAACUAAUGACUACUGAUGGUCAUGUAGAAGUAGUUGCUGAAAUGCAGGGUUUGGAGAAAAACAGAAUGGACAGGUUUGAAAGGAGCUUAGAUCACAAGGUUCCUAAAUUUUUAGAGUUUUGGGGUGACUCAAUAGAUGGUGAUUCCUUUUCUUCUUUAUCAAGCCCAGAAACAGGUAGAUAUUCUGAAUAUUCAGAUACGUAUCAGGAAAGAAAUCUAGUGGUCAGCCAUCAGGAGAAAAAUGAACAUGAUCUUCCUGAAACUGUACAGCCAGAGGACACCAGCUUCAUUUCAACAAGCUCAGGUUCUGAUGAUGAUGGUGAAGGCUAUGAAGAGUCAGUGGAGAAAGAGAUCCAUUCGGAUACUUGUCAAGUGGCUCCGAGUGAACUCCGAGCUUGGGAUUCAUUGAAUAAAUCUAAUAAGUCCUUGGCCACAGCAGAUCCUGAAUCUGAGCAAUGUUCUGUUUAUAGAGGCAGUCCAGAGGGAGCAGAGAAUAAGUCAAACCCAUCCUGUGAUGAUCAACAAAGCAGCCCUGAUCGCUGGAAUUUCUCACCAGUAAGGGAGACUGAAUUACAGGUGACAGAAGUCGAUAAGGAAACAAGGUCUUCUCCAGAAAUGGGGAGGACAGGAGAUGUCAUAUGGCAAAUAUCUCCCAAAGCUGAACCAAAUAAUGAAAAUUACUCUAAAUUGGAAAUGGCUGACUUCUCAGCUGAGAGCACGGAGUGGUGGAAGGCCUCCCUCCAGGAAGGGCGACCAAUUAAGAGUGCAUUUGAAGGGGAAUUAUCUAACUCAAGUGCUGUGCUAGAAAUGAAUUCCUCAGUGUGCGAAAACAUGGGUCCUUGGGGAGUGCCCAUUCAGGGUGAUACUGAAUCCCUGGCACUACAUGGUACCAAUCCUUUCAAUGAUAACCAUCAGUCACCCUUUCUAGAUGAUAAUAGGGAGAGUGCCCAUGAGCAACUUUGGAACAUUCAACCAAGGCAGCCAGACCCAGAAGCUGAUCAGCUUAACCAACUUGUAAUAUUGGACCAGAUUAAAGACACAGAUUCCAGAGAACAAACCUUCGUGUCUUCUGCUGGUGACGAACUCUCCUCUGAAGUACCUACGCAAGAACAGUGUCAGAAUUCAGUGCUGUCUGCCUGGGACCAGCCAGACUCGUCUUGUACUUACGCAGAUGAAAAUGGAUGCAUUGUAUCUGGUGUAGCAACAACUGAAUGUCAAGAAACAAAUUGGUGGGAAGAAGGAAAAUCACACCCAAGUGAAAUGACAAAUUCAAAUAUCACCUCUGAAGAUGUCCCUGCUGUCAGUUCUUCCACCCGGAUGAUGAACAAGUCAGGCUCUGAAUGGAGUGACUCUGCUCCUACUGAGGGCCCGCAGGGCACGUUUGUUCCAGAUAUUUUACACGGCAACUUCCAAGAGGGUGGGCACCUGGCCUCAGCUUCGCCCGACUUGUGGGUGGGUGUGAAACAGCCCUUCAGUGUGAAGACAGAUGGUGAGAAUCCUGAUAUACUGACUCACUGUGGCCACGACAGCAAUUCCCAGGCUUCCAACAGCCCUGAUGUUUGUCAGGAUUAUGAAGUAAAGGCAGAGACUGAGCAGCACAUCGAUGCUGGGCUGGGGCCGGAAGGGGAAGCCAGUGAGCUCUAUCUCACUGAGCCAGACACAGAUGAAGAAUCCAGACAGGAGCCUGGGCAGGAAUUCGCCCCUUAUACUUCAGAGCUGUCCUCUGAAAAUGUCAUUCCACUGCCUCCAGUCAGCGAGCAGACAAACACAAAUGACUCAUCUCAGCCUUCCUCUCAGGAGUGUUUUCCUGAACCUUCCGAAAUUAAUGGUGAAAACAAUAUAGGCUUAAAAGCAUCAGAACAAGGAGCCAACCCAGCUAUGGCACCAAUUUUGGAACCUGUUGACAGAACAAUCUCAAUGAUUGAAAACGUGGAAACUGGUAUCUGUGUAACUUACCAAGAGCCAACUGUGGACGACAGUAGGUCUUCGAUAUCAGAAGACUUUCUUCCUCAGAGGCAGACCGAUGCAGGGGACUUGUUGGACCAUGAGCAGCCCUUUGUUACUGAGAAUCCUGCCAUGGUUCCUGAUGCUUUGCUAGCCUCGGACACUUGUUUGGAUGUCAGCGAAGCUGCCUUUGACCACAGUUUCAGCGAUGCUUCGGGUCUCAACACGUCCACGGGCACAAUAGAUGACAUGAGUAAGCUGACGUUAUCAGAAGGCAUUCCUGAAACGCCAUUUGAUGGGGAGACAGGGAAGCAAGAUAUCUGUUCAUCUGAAGCCUCAUGGGGUGACUUUGAGUAUGAAGUCAUGGGCCAAAAUAUUGAUGAAGACUUAAUGAAAGAGCCUGAACACUUUGUCUAUGGUGGCGACCCUCCCUUGGAAGAAGAUGCCCUGAAGCAGGAGUUGGCACCUUACACACCUCCCUUUGAUUUGUCCUAUCUCACAGAACCUACUCCUGGCAUUGAAACCACAGAGGAAACUGGGACUCCAGAGGAUGAGUCUCUGGGGAGCGAAGCAGCAGAGAUACUGCUUUCUGCCCUUCCUGAUGAAAGAAACCAGGAAAACCAUGCUGAGACCACAGACAGACAGCCCGAAGGCCAGCCAGUUGUGUUGCAUAUUCACGAAGACCCUGAGUCAGGUCCUUUGCCUGCCGGAAUCGAUGCCAACCCUGAGUUGUCUCCAUCACACAUUGACUGGGAAGUAGAGACAGAUCAUUCAGAUUCACCAGCAGGUGGAGACAUAGGACCACCAAGUGGUGCCAGUGAGGGAAUAUUAGAGUUGGAAGAAGAAAAAAUAAUUCCUACCGAAGAGCCUGAGCAGGUAAAAUCAGAACAUGGGGAGGAAAGGAACACUGAGAAGAAAGAAGAUCGUCAUGCAUUGCACAUGGAUUACAUACUUGUAAACCAUGAAGAAAAUUCACUGCCAGAGCCAGAGGCCUGUGAAGCUAGAGAAAGCACAUCGGAAUUAGAAGAGCUUCACGUAGAUUCCGAAAAAGGGCUGCCAGAAACUCGGUUAGCCAGCUCCCCGGACACAGGUCAACCAGCUUCCUUAAAUGAAAGAAAUCAUCUAUCUACAGAGAGAAUGUCUUCCAAAGAUGAUAAGAGAUCAUCUUUUGAAAGCCCUGGGCAAGACCAGAGUUGGAUGGUCUUGGGCCGUAGUGAGGUUAGUGAUCCAUCAUCGGAGACCAUGGACUCAGGACCUGGAUGGUCUGGUGAGGCUGUGGAGCCAGCCUCUGAUCACAGCUUGGGCCAGAGCCCCCAGAUACAGAUUCUGGAGGAAAUGAAGCCUCUGGAAUCUUUAGCACUAGGGGAAGCCUCUGAUCUGGGCAGCCAAUCACGGAGGAGCAAGAGCCGAGGCAGAGCUGGCCCUGAUGCAGUUAUGCUGCAGCCUGUCACCCAUGACAAUGAAUGGGAAAUGCUUUCACCACAAAACAUAAUCCCUGAAAUGGAAAUGGAGGAGGAGACGGAGUUUCUUGAGCCCAGAACAAGGAAACCAAGACCAAAUGGACUGCUGUCAGAGGAUGUAGGGAUGGAUAUCCGCUUUGAGGAGGGAAUGCUGAGUCCCACUGAUGCAGACAUGAGGCCGGAACCUCCUAAUUCUCUGGAUCUUGACAGCACUCAUCCUCGGAGAAUCAAACUCACAGCCCCAAAUAUCAAUCUGUCUCUGGAUCAAAGUGAAGGGUCUGUUCUCUCUGAUGAUAACUUGGACAGUCCAGAUGAGAUUGAUAUCAAUGUGGAUGAACUUGAGACUCCCGAUGAAGCAGAUUCUUUUGAGUACACUGGCCAUGAGGAUUCCACAGGCAACAAAGAUUCUGGCCAAGAGUCGGAGUCUAUUCCAGAAUAUACGGCGGAAGAGGAGCGGGAGGACAACCGGCUGUGGAGGACCGUGGUGAUUGGAGAACAGGAGCAGCGGAUUGACAUGAAGGUCAUCGAGCCCUACAGGAGAGUCAUUUCUCACGGAGGUCCCCCAGGAUACUAUGGGGACGGCCUAAAUGCCAUCAUUGUGUUUGCCGCCUGCUUUCUGCCAGACAGCAGUCGGGCCGACUACCACUAUGUCAUGGAAAAUCUUUUCCUAUACGUAAUAAGUACUUUAGAGUUGAUGGUAGCUGAAGACUAUAUGAUUGUGUACUUGAAUGGUGCGACCCCAAGACGGAAGAUGCCAGGGCUAGGCUGGAUGAAGAAAUGUUACCAGAUGAUUGACAGACGGUUGAGGAAGAAUUUAAAAUCAUUCAUCAUUGUUCAUCCAUCUUGGUUCAUCAGAACAAUCCUUGCAGUUACACGACCUUUUAUAAGUUCCAAAUUCAGUAGUAAAAUUAAAUACGUCAGUAGUUUAGCAGAACUCAGUGGACUGAUCCCAAUGGAUUGCAUCCAUAUUCCAGAGAGCAUCAUCAAGUACGAUGAAGAAAGAUCUUAUAAGAGAAGUGUGAGAACUAGCUGCCUUUACAAUGAUCCAGAAAUGUCUUCUAUGGAGAAGGAUAUUAAUCUGAAGCUGAAAGAAAAGCCCUAGUUGGCCACAUCUGGACGAAGGGGCUGCUUUUCUGCUUCGUGGUUCUGUUGAGACCUACCUACCUGGAAGAGACAGCACUGAUGGUACUCUGUUUCCAGUUUGCACUACCUGCUGCCACUCUAAAUUUCUAAGGGGGAAAAACAGUAAGAGAAUCUGUUUACUCUUAACAUGUUUUAUGGAAUUAUGUGUAUUUUCCUAUUUUGCCAAUUAUGUGCCUCAAAGAUUUUAGUUGAACCUUAGCAAGAAAGUAGGACCUUCCAUUUCAAUAUUUCAUUAACCCUUGGUAUAGUGGUAUUUCGUCUCUUUGUUGACUGCUGUUGACCACGGAGGUAACUUCAGUCCACUAUUCAUUAUGAGUGGAUUUCUCCUUGGUGAUCACUUCAAGUUUAAAAUACACAGGACUCAACCGUCCCUGGGAAAGUUGGCCCCACAUAAACGCCACCUUUCAAACCCUGAGCUUGCUUAAGAUAGCCAUAACGCAGACACAGGUGUGACACCACGUCAGUUAAGCAUCCACUUGGUUCUUGUCCACAUUUAUUCUAACAUCUCCAAAGGAAGCCAGGUUUCCUAAUUCACACCAAUUUCAUUUUAGUUAUCAAAAUGGGCAUUGUGUGUUCUGUGAAUUUGGUCUUUUAAAAAAGUCAUUUCUUCAGGGAAUGUUGAAGACCUCCAAACUGAGAAACUUAAGGAUCAAUGUUCACAUUUCUGGUAGCUGUCUUUGAUUCAAGCCAUGAACUUAGUUCAAGAUGUUGCACUUUAAGUGCUAAGGGCACUGUGGAAGGCAGCCCCUCAGAAAUUCAUUUUUUGGUAACAUUGAGUUAUCUGAAUCUCUCUCACAUGCAUUAUCAAAAUAAUCUGCUUUAACACACUCACAGGCUUAAAAUUAAAUAUGAGUAUGUACUAUCCUUUGCAAAAUAGUUCUUUAUAGUCUCCAUGUGUUUUUUAAAAUACCAGCAUGGUUUAGAACCCAUGGGCCUCUAGAGGAGGGAGGGGUUGGUAA
rnacentral:lncRNA from 1 species